GACGAACGCUGGCGGCGUGCUUAACACAUGCAAGUCGAACGGAAAGGCCCUGCUUUUGUGGGGUGCUCGAGUGGCGAACGGGUGAGUAACACGUGAGUAACCUGCCCUUGACUUUGGGAUAACUUCAGGAAACUGGGGCUAAUACCGGAUAGGAGCUCCUGCUGCAUGGUGGGGGUUGGAAAGUUUCGGCGGUUGGGGAUGGACUCGCGGCUUAUCAGCUUGUUGGUGGGGUAGUGGCUUACCAAGGCUUUGACGGGUAGCCGGCCUGAGAGGGUGACCGGCCACAUUGGGACUGAGAUACGGCACAGACUCCUACGGGAGGCAGCAGUGGGGAAUAUUGCACAAUGGGCGGAAGCCUGAUGCAGCAACGCCGCGUGCGGGAUGACGGCCUUCGGGUUGUAAGCCUCUUUCGCCUGUGACGAAGCGUGAGUGACGGUAAUGGGUAAAGAAGCACCGGCUAACUACGUG
rnacentral:rRNA from 1 species